rnacentral:rRNA from 1 species
GCUCGUGGAACGAGCGGCGGACGGGUGAGUAACACGUGGGCAACCUACCUGUGAGACGGGGAUAACUCCGGGAAACCGGGGCUAAUACCGGAUAACGCAUCGAACCGCAUGGUUCGAUGAUCAAAGAUGGCUUCUAGCUAUCACUCACAGAUGGGCCCGCGGCGCAUUAGUUAGUUGGUGAGGUAACGGCUCACCAAGGCGACGAUGCGUAGCCGACCUGAGAGGGUGAUCGGCCACACUGGGACUGAGACACGGCCCAGACUCCUACGGGAGGCAGCAGUAGGGAAUCAUCCGCAAUGGACGCAAGUCUGACGGUGCAACGCCGCGUGAGCGAUGAAGGUCUUCGGAUCGUAAAGCUCUGUUGUGAGGGAAGAACAAGUGCCGUUCGAAUAGGGCGGCACCUUGACGGUACCUCACCAGAAAGCCCCGGCUAACUACGUGCCAGCAGCCGCGGUAAUACGUAGGGGGCAAGCGUUGUCCGGAAUUAUUGGGCGUAAAGCGCGCGCAGGCGGUUCCUUAAGUCUGAUGUGAAAGGCCACAGCUCAACUGUGGAGGGCCAUUGGAAACUGGGGAACUUGAGGACAGAAGAGGAGAGCGGAAUUCCACGUGUAGCGGUGAAAUGCGUAGAUAUGUGGAGGAACACCAGUGGCGAAGGCGGCUCUCUGGUCUGUAACUGACGCUGAGGCGCGAAAGCAUGGGUAGCGAACAGGAUUAGAUACCCUGGUAGUCCAUGCCGUAAACGUUGAGUGCUAGGUGUUAGGGGGUCCAACCCUUAGUGCUGCAGUUAACGCAAUAAGCACUCCGCCUGGGGAGUACGGCCGCAAGGCUGAAACUCAAAGGAAUUGACGGGGGCCUGCACAAGCGGUGGAGCAUGUGGUUUAAUUCGACGCAACGCGAAGAACCUUACCAGGUCUUGACAUCUUCGGACAGCCCAAGAGAUUGGGUCUUCCCUUCGGGGACCGAAUGACAGGUGGUGCAUGGUUGUCGUCAGCUCGUGUCGUGAGAUGUUGGGUUAAGUCCCGUAACGAGCGCAACCCCUGAUCUUAGUUGCCAGCAUUGAGUUGGGCACUCUAGGAUGACUGCCGGUGACAAACCGGAGGAAGGCGGGGAUGACGUCAAAUCAUCAUGCCCCUUAUGACCUGGGCUACACACGUGCUACAAUGGAUGGUACAAAGGGAAGCCAAACCGCGAGGUCGAGCUAAUCCCAUAAAGCCAUUCUCAGUUCGGAUUGUAGGCUGCAACUCGCCUGCAUGAAGCCGGAAUCGCUAGUAAUCGCGGAU